rnacentral:rRNA from 1 species
AUUGAACGCUGGCGGCAGGCCUAACACAUGCAAGUCGAGCGGAGCGGCGGACGGGCGAGUAAUGCAUGGGAAUCUGCCUGGUAGUGGGGGAUAACGUCCGGAAACGGGCGCUAAUACCGCAUACUAUCAGAUGAGCCUAGGUCGGAUUAGCUAGUUGGUGGGGUAAGGCCCGAACAAGGAGACGAUCCGUCACUGGUCUGAGAGGAUGAUCAGUCACACUGGAACUGAGACACGGUCCAGACUCCUACGGGAGGCAGCAGUGGGGAAUAUUGGACAAUGGGCGAAAGCCUGAUCCAGCCAUGCCGCGUGUGUGAAGAAGGUCUUCGGAUUGUAAAGCACUUUAAGUUGGGAGGCGUUACCAACAGAAUAAGCACCGGCUAACUCCGUGCCAGCAGCCGCGGUAAUUC